AGAAUGAACGCUGGCGGCAUGCCUAACACAUGCAAGUCGAACGAAGCCUUCGGGUUUAGUGGCGCACGGGUGCGUAACGCGUGGGAAUCUACCCCUUGGUUCGGAAUAACAGUUGGAAACGACUGCUAAUACCGGAUGAUGACGUAAGUCCAAAGAUUUAUCGCCGAGGGAUGAGCCCGCGUAGGAUUAGGUAGUUGGUGUGGUAAAGGCGCACCAAGCCGACGAUCCUUAGCUGGUCUGAGAGGAUGAUCAGCCACACUGGGACUGAGACACGGCCCAGACUCCUACGGGAGGCAGCAGUGGGGAAUAUUGGACAAUGGGCGAAAGCCUGAUCCAGCAAUGCCGCGUGAGUGAUGAAGGCCUUAGGGUUGUAAAGCUCUUUACCCGGGAUGAUAAUGACAGUACCGGGAGAAUAAGCUCCGGCUAACUCCGUGCCAGCAGCCGC
rnacentral:rRNA from 1 species